rnacentral:rRNA from 2 species
CUGAAAGGGCGAGGGAAAACCGGACAAGCGACCUCUCCGUAUCUGAUCUUGAAGACUUCCACUGCGUGUCCCUCUGUACAGCUUUGCAGGCUCCGGCCUCGGCAGCGGGGGGUUCAUAGUGGUCGUCGACCUCCACGAAACUGCUCGCUCCGGCGUGACAGCGUACUGGGGAUGCCUGUGUUUACGCAGUCCGGGCUUGCCUGGACCGCCAGCAGAUGGGCUCUGUGGAUGACUGGCCGCUGGCUAGACCUGAAACCUGAGCAACGGGAGGUAACCUCUCGCCGUGGACACCGGAAUGGUAGAAGCGGCGUGCUGCGUCCUCCUCUUGGGGCCCCUAAGCCACACCUCCCACAGCGGGCUCGGUGCGGCGGACGGACGCCCUGGGGAAUUUAGAGGGGGAAAGCGGAUUGCCCUAGCGGUGUUGUUGGCCCUGCCGACCUCACUGCGAAAGGCGCGA